CAACGUGUCACUUCCUCUUCCUCCACUGUGGCUGUGGCAAGGAUCUGUUGGAGACCAAACAAUUCAACCAUUUGGAUAAUCUCUGCAGUUUAAAAAAUAUUUCAGCGGUCAGGUUUUUUAUGGACUGAAUGAAUUCAAGAUGGCGAGCUACCCUGAACUACCUGUGUGGUAGUUACGACCCCUGCCUGUAUUUUCCUCUGGAAUCUUGGAGGGGACUUUGCAUUUUUUUUUGGACUGUGUUAUUUUUCCUUUCCAUCACGUGGAUCCUGGACAGUUCCCUUUUUUUCUUUCUCCUGGUUAAAAAGACUGCAUUAUUUUCCCCUUUUCUGUGUUUUUUUUUCUUUGGGGAAAGGAAAUUUAGAAAAUUGAAUUGAAUUAAUUUCAUUAACAAUGGAAUACAAGUCUACAAUGACCCUGUAAAUUUGUGGUUAUUUUGUAUGUUUUUCCCUUAUGUUUAUUGUUAAUAUUUAAUAUAAUUUCAAUUGAAAUCUUA